CCGAAUGGGGAAACCCACUGCUUCGGCAGUAUCCUGCAGUGAAUUCAUAGCUGCUGGAAGCGAACCCGGUGAACUGAAAUAUCUAAGUAACCGGAGGAAAAGAAAUCAACCGAGAUUCCCUAAGUAGUGACGAGCGAACGGGGAGCAGCCCUUAAGCUGGAAUGGCUUUAGAAAAACAAUCUGGAAAGAUUGGCCAUAGAAGGUGAUAGCCCUGUAUUUAAAAGGGCCACUCCAGUGAAGACGAGUAGGGCGGGGCACGUGAAACCCUGUCUGAAUAUGGGGGGACCAUCCUCCAAGGCUAAAUACUCCUGACCGACCGAUAGUGAACCAGUACCGUGAGGGAAAGGCGAAAAGAACCCCGGAGAGGGGAGUGAAAUAGAUCCUGAAACCGUGUGCGUACAAGCAGUAGGAGCUCGCAAGAGUGACUGCGUACCUUUUGUAUAAUGGGUCAGCGACUUACUGUUCGUGGCAAGCUUAACCGUAUAGGGGAGGCGAAGGGAAACCGAGUCUGAUAAGGGCGCAUAGUCGCGGGCAGUAGACCCGAAACCGGGUGAUCUAGUCAUGGCCAGGGUGAAGGUGCCGUAACAGGUACUGGAGGCCCGAACCCACGUCUGUUGCAAAAGACGGGGAUGAGCUGUGAUUAGGAGUGAAAAGCUAAUCGAACCCGGAGAUAGCUGGUUCUCCUCGAAAGCUAUUUAGGUAGCGCCUCAUAUGUAUCCUCUCGGGGGUAGAGCACUGUUAUGGCUAGGGGGUCAUCGCGACUUACCAAACCAUUGCAAACUCCGAAUACCGAGACGGACUGUAUGGGAGACACACGGCGGGUGCUAACGUCCGUCGUGAAAAGGGAAACAACCCAGACCCACAGCUAAGGUCCCAAAUUCACUGCUAAGUGGAAAACGAUGUGGAAAGGCAUAGACAGCCAGGAGGUUGGCUUAGAAGCAGCCACCCUUUAAAGAAAGCGUAAUAGCUCACUGGUCGAGUCGGUCUGCGCGGAAGAUUUAACGGGGCUAAGCAGUGAACCGAAGCUUGGGGUGCAUAAAACUUGUUUUAUGCGCGGUAGAGGAGCGUUCCGUAAGCCUGCGAAGGUGGAUUGAGAAGUCUGCUGGAGGUAUCGGAAGUGCGAAUGCUGACAUGAGUAACGAUAAUGCGGGUGAAAAGCCCGCACGCCGAAAGCCCAAGGUUUCCUUGCGCAACGUUAAUCGACGCAGGGUUAGUCGGUCCCUAAGGCGAGGGCGAAAGCCGUAGUCGAUGGGAAGCAGGUUAAUAUUCCUGCACCUCGCGUGAGUGCGAUGGAGGGACGGAGAAGGUUAGGUGUACCGGGCGUUGGUUGUCCCGGGGAAAGGCGGUAGGUUUGGAUCUUUGGCAAAUCCGGGAUCCUUUAAGACCGAGCACCGAGACGAGCCUUUAUGGCGAAGUCACUGAUACCACGCUUCCAGGAAAAGCUCCUAAGCUUCAGCUCACGAAGACCGUACCGUAAACCGACACAGGUGGGUAGGAUGAGAAUUCUCAGGCGCUUGAGAGAACUCGGGUGAAGGAACUAGGCAACAUGGCACCGUAACUUCGGGAGAAGGUGCACCCUUUUUGGUGGCUCGUGCGAGCUAUAGCUGAAGAGGGUCGCAGAAACCAGGCCGCUGCGACUGUUUAUCAAAAACACAGCACUCUGCAAACACGAAAGUGGACGUAUAGGGUGUGACGCCUGCCCGGUGCUGGAAGGUUAAUUGAUGGGGUCAGCCGCAAGGCGAAGCUCUUGAUCGAAGCCCCAGUAAACGGCGGCCGUAACUAUAACGGUCCUAAGGUAGCGAAAUUCCUUGUCGGGUAAGUUCCGACCUGCACGAAUGGCGUAACGACAGCGGCGCUGUCUCCACCCGAGACUCAGUGAAAUUGAAAUCGCUGUGAAGAUGCAGCGUUCCCGUGGCAAGACGGAAAGACCCCGUGAACCUUUACUAUAGCUUUACACUGAACGUUGAGUUCGUCUGUGUAGGAUAGGUGGGAGGCUAUGAAACUGUGGCGCUAGCUGCAGUGGAGCCAUCCUUGAAAUACCACCCUGUCGUGCUUGACGUUCUAACCUAGGUCCGUUAUCCGGAUCAGGGACCGUGUAUGGUGGGUAGUUUGACUGGGGCGGUCUCCUCCUAAAGAGUAACGGAGGAGCACGAAGGUACGCUCAGCGCGGUCGGACAUCGCGCACUGUGUGCAAAGGCAUAAGCGUGCUUGACUGCAAGAUCGACGGAUCAAGCAGGUACGAAAGUAGGUCUUAGUGAUCCGGUGGUUCUGUAUGGAAGGGCCAUCGCUCAACGGAUAAAAGGUACUCCGGGGAUAACAGGCUGAUACCGCCCAAGAGUUCAUAUCGACGGCGGUGUUUGGCACCUCGAUGUCGGCUCAUCACAUCCUGGGGCUGUAGUCGGUCCCAAGGGUAUGGCUGUUCGCCAUUUAAAGUGGUACGCGAGCUGGGUUCAGAACGUCGUGAGACAGUUCGGUCCCUAUCUGCCAUGGGCGUUGGAAGUUUGAGAGGGGCUGCUCCUAGUACGAGAGGACCGGAGUGGACGAACCUCUGGUGUUCCGGUUGUCACGCCAGUGGCAUUGCCGGGUAGCUAUGUUCGGAAGCGAUAACCGCUGAAAGCAUCUAAGCGGGAAGCGCGCCUCAAGAUGAGACUUCCCGGGGCACAAGCCCCCUAAAGGAACCAUGUAGACUACGUGGUUGA
rnacentral:rRNA from 1 species